rnacentral:rRNA from 1 species
UACGUAGGGUGCAAGCGUUGUCCGGAAUUAUUGGGCGUAAAGAGCUUGUAGGCGGUUUGUCGCGUCUGCUGUGAAAUUUCGGGGCUCAACCCCGAACUUGCAGUGGGUACGGGCAGACUAGAGUCCGGAAGAGGAGAAUGGAAUUCCUGGUGUAGCGGUGAAAUGCGCAGAUAUCAGGAAGAACACCCGUGGCGAAGGCGGUUCUCUGGGCCGAUACUGACGCUGAGGAGCGAAAGCGUGGGGAGCGAACAGG